rnacentral:rRNA from 1 species
UCAAUCUCGUGCGGCUAUAUAUACCGCCGGUCCCUCUAAGAAGAUUACACUGUACGCCGGUAGUGAGUAGGUCCGAAGACCCUCUCCAAGAUACCGGUAAUACGUCUAUUUAAUAGGCUAGAGUUACGUUCGUUAC